CAUUAUUCUCCUAGUGUGAGCAGCGGAGGAGGGUGUAAACUGAGAAAGAUACUGCGGGCCUUACAAGUGGAUGUCAUAAUUCUGCCGUCCAUUGAUACAAAACAACAAUUGUUGCGCCAUUCAGUCAGUUUCUGCGCCAAAACUGCAAAGAGUUGUUGGGCCUUUAUUGGAAUUGAUUAAACGUUAUUUGACUUUUGGCAUCUAUAUCUAUGUCUAAUCGUCCCAUAUCUUAUUUCAUUUCAUUGCAUUUCAUUUUCAUUUCAUUUAGUCGAAUACAACAACUUACAUCUACCUUAUUCUAUUAACAUGCACGUAAUCAGCACAUCGAUAGAAUAUAAUUAUUUCGUAGGUUUUAUUUUAUUACUGUUAUUUUAUUUAAAAUUUAUUAUACUGUCGUAAUGUUAGCUUUUUAAAUCGUUAUUAUAGGAUUUAUAUUUUAUUGUUGUUUUACUAUUUAAUAUUUAUUAUUAUUAUUGUUAUUACGUUAUGAAUCACGUAAAUUUCGUAGACGCCACUAGUCAAAUUUUCAAAUACGAAAUUAAUGCAAUUUUAUAUUUGGUAUUUCGACGUUUGCACCUUUUUAUCCUCCUUGACGGGCUGAUUUGAUGAACGCCAUCGCGUCUUCGAGCAUCCAAGCAUCAAUCAUAGUAAGAACUAACUUGUAUUGAAACCAAGAAGCUAAUAUAUAAACCUAUAUAAUACCUUUUUGGUUAAAAUGUGAUGUUGCAUUUAUUUCUACUAACACACAGGUGUAUACAUUAAGAUUUACUUUUUCAGGGCAACGAAGCUAAUAAUAAUUAUGGAGAUCAUCCAUCAUCUUGUUGAUACUAUGCAAUAUUAAUACUUUAUAGGAAACUUGGCUAGAUUGUACAUUAGAAACAAGGUUUAAUAAUUAUCGUAUCAUACAUAAUUGCGAUGAUAAUAUAGGUGAACCAUGGAUUCCAUGGCUAAACUUCGGUAGGCAUUCAAAUCUUCAUGCUAGGCCACUGUCACUAGAUGCUGAUAAUCUUACAUUAUAUAUCCAAUAACAUUUGACAACAUCAAUUUAUCAUAUUACACAGCAUCAACUAGACUAUUUAUGAAUGUAUGUAUUAUGAAAAAAUUGUACUAACACAUAGGCUGAUAUAGAAUAAAACAGUUGUUGUUUAAUUAUGUUGAUUAUAUGCAAAUGUGACGGAACCACAGGUAAGUUACUAACACAGCAAGACAUCGCCUCGAGCAUCCAAGCAUCAAACCAAGUAAGUCAACUAACCACUAUAGGAUUGUUUGUGUAGAAAAAACAAUCGUACUAAUAUCAUACCCAAUGCCCAUCUUGUAAACCACUUUAUAUAAAAUCGUAGUAUUUUUAUUUAUUUAUUUUUUUUUAUUCGUGCCGAUAGUGGGUUAGGUCAGUAUUUGAUAGUAGCAGGUGCUGCCUCAAUGCGUCUUCAAUUGUAUACCUAUGAAAUUGUUGCAAUAAAUCUGUACAAACAAAUGUGUCUUGUCUCUUUUUUUUACAUUUUGUAUCUGUCUCUUUUUAAUCACAUCUAUAAUCAGCCCUCCUAUACCAAACAUUGUAUCCCUAUGAAUUUGUUUCAAUAAAUUGGUACAUUAGAAACAUGCGUUUAUGACUCGUUUAUUUAACAUCUUCAGAAGUAUUUUAUCAGAAUCUGUUAUGAAUUUUAAUUUUGUAAAUGAAAAAUAAUAGUAAAUGGAAUUCAUUUACAAUUGUUAAAAUUUCAGUGUAUGUGUAAAUCCAAGAUGUAUAAUAACUAAUAGCAUGUCUUUUAUUUCAGAAAUAUUAAGUUUGUUGUCCACAGACAGUAAGGCGACGAAUACCUCGUGCAUCACAGGUCUUUUUCGCCUAUGCAUGUGUGCGGAAUAAAUAAAUACGUUAUACGUUCAAUAUUCAUAAUAACUUUAAAGUUCAUUUCAUUUCAGAAAAAAAAUAUCUGGUGAUUUUGAUGAUGCUUGAGGAAAUAUGCUAAUAGGCCUAUACUGAUUGGAUAGUGGUACUUCUGCCGAUGACUAAUUGUCGACUUGGAAUGAGAAAAAAAUAUUAAUGAUGAUUGUGAUGAUGACGGUAGCGAUGAAUAUUUAAUAAUGACGAUUAAUUCAGAUUUUAAAGUUGUGGUUAGUUCAUUUGAGUUGUGAUUUAAACCGACUUUGUUAUUACAACAUACAAUGACAAAUGAUGGUGAUGAAUGGCAGUGAUGACGAUUAACGACAAUGAAAUGGUGUAUCUAAACUUGCAAAGGUAAGUUGUGAGAUAAUGUUUGAAUGUCUGAAAGUUUCCAAGGCGACUUUGUGAGGUUGUGAAAUGACGUGAUGUGAAGCUAGGGCUAUCACAGGCCAAAUCUAUACAUUUAUUGUGUUUUCAUUUUAGAAAAAGAAAAAGAAACGACAUAUUUCGAUAAUGCAUGUGAAUUUCCGAAUAAAUCAAAUCAAUUUGCUAUGUGGAGUAGUGCCUCGAGUCUGAUGGAGAACUGUAGACAUUAAGUGCUCAUGGGGAUAACGAUAAUAGAGGACAGUGAUGAUAACGAUGGUGAUGAUGAAAUGGUAGACCUGAACUUAAAAAUUAGUAAUCGGUACGCAAGGCUUUAAAUGCUUAUGGACUGUCCUCCGACCUGACUGGAAUGUAGUGUGAUCGAUUUAAAAACAAGGAAAUAUUUGGACGUCGAUUGUUAAUAAUAUGGUAUGGUGAUGGACGACUAUGAUAUUAAUAACGAAAGUUGAUGAUGCUAAGAAAGAAACCUGGUGAUUUUGAUAAUGAUGCUUGUGGAUAUAUGCUACGAUUGUCUGGUGGCUCUUGUGCGAAUGGAUAAUUUAUCAACUUGAAUUGAAAACAUAAUUAGCAGUGACGAUGAUGGUGAUGAUGAUGAAUUUGAUGAUGAUGAUUGUGAAAUGAUGAUGGUGUAAGCAAUGUAGACCUUUUCAUAUCGACAUGAAAGGAACAUUGAACGAAUACGAUGAUAUAAUUAAUAUAAUAAUAUGAUGAUAACGAUGUUGUUGCUGAUAAAAUGACGUUAAAACAAUAACGACGAUGAUAAUUUUACGGUACUUGAUUACAAGUAUCAGACUCUUGAAGCUUUACUUUUGCUUAUCUUGGAUCCAAAUAUGGACUGCAAAGUUUGGGUGGUUCCUGGGAGCUUUUAGUGAGUUGUGAUUUGAGUUGAUUAAGAGACUUUGCCUAUUAAUUACAACAUAAUAAAAUGACAGAUGACGGUGAUGAUUAAAAAGACAGCGCCGUUGACUUUGUAGUGACGAUUAACGAUAACGAAAUGGUGUAACUGAACCUGCAAAUGUAUAAUUUGUCAGAUGAUGUUUGAAUGCCUGAAAGUUGAGCUUGUUUGAAUUAUGAAAUGACAACUAUUGGGCUAUGCAUAAGCAUAAAUUUUAAAACUUUCAGACCAAAUUGCUUCAAUGUGUUUCUUUUGAUGGUGAAUACCGAGGACGAUGAUAAUCAUAACGAAUAUGAUCUUAUAUAAUGGUGGCGAUAUAAUGAUCUUGGUGACGAUGAAAUGGUAGAACAGCUUGCAAAGGUUUGGGAGAUGGAGCAGGCAUCCUUUAUGCAAAUGUCAAUUGUUUUCAUCAGGUUUACGCAGUACAUAAUUUGUAAACACAGUGCAACAGAAGUGGUUGAUAUGCAAGGCCUUGAAUUCUUGUGAACUGUCGCCGACUUGAACAUACUGAAACCGUGUGCGACCGACUUAAAAGGAAUCUACUGGUGGACAUUGGUGGAUUAAAUAAAUCUUGAUUCUACUAAAGGAAUUCGGAGCUGUGAUCAAGCUAAUACCAGCCCUGACCCAGGAAGCGAAUUUUGUCAGCAGAAUAACAUCCGUUCAAAUGGAAUGAGCCAAUGUGGUCGAUUUAAUUUAGAAAUGCUGAGUAUUUUUGCAAAUGUUAAAGAACACAGAACGUACAAUUAGAUAUUAUGACGAAGACUAUUGUCAUUGCAAUUGGUAAUAUUAAAUAUAGGCUAUAUAGUAAUACUUAAUAAUAUAAAAUAAUAUUUUCUAUUAAAAAAAUAAAAGCCUACAUUUUAAAUAAUUAACAACCGUACGAAUACAGUAUUCAUCAAUACAAUUACUUCUUUGUUCGUUUUGUAUAUUUGUCAUCCUACAUGUAGUUGCUGUUUGUUUCGUACAUUACGGUUUAAUAUCACUUUCAUCAUUUCAUUUCGUCCUAAUCUAGUCCACCCUCUCUCAUAUCUAACUAAAUUUGGCCUAUAGAUAUGUUGUAGUUUGUCAGGUUAGCUCGAUAGAUAGGUCGUAGUUUAAGGUGUAGAGUACGUAUUAGCUAGGUUAAAAAGUAGAUUUCCAAAAUGAGAGAGGAAUGGGCAAUACAUUAACCUCCUUCAUUAACAUCAAUUCAAUGUAUCCUAUCAUUACUGUAUUGUAUAACAGACAUUACUCUUCACAUUGUGUUCGUCCAAUCAGAUGAUGUGUUAUAAAAAUAGAUCCAUAAAUUAAAGUUAACAUAUAAAAUAAAGACACAAAUAAUUAUAAAGUAUAACAAUUGCAAUGAUAUGUGCUGAAGUAAUUUCUUGUGAAACUGUUAUCAUUUGCUAUAUAUUCAGUUGUAAUAAUUGUGAUGUUGAUGCAAAUAAAUUAUUAGUAAGGCCGAUAUUAUGCUUAAUUGUAUAGGCCUAUAUUUUUUCGCACCGGCAUUAUGAGCAUAUAUUAAAUGUUUGAUGUUAAACCUAUACCUAAAAUUAAAAUUCUUGAAUGACUUCCGACCAGUAUCAUUAACAUAAUGAAAUGUUUUGAAAAAUUAUAUUCAUAGUACUCAUUUUUUUAAAUUCCUUUCUAAAUAAUGUGUAUAAACAUCUGCAAAAGCCAAGAGCUUUUGUAAGGUCAGUUUUUAUAGAUUUUAAGUGCCUUCAACACUAUUGUUCCACACAUAUUGCUAAAAAGACUUUUCUUUUCUAGAAUUUUGUCAGGUAUUUUUAAUUUCUUGACCACGGCGAGUUAAAUGUUAUAGUAUAACGUCAACAGUUAGUAGCUUAAGGCUAUGUUCUCACACGGCUGCUAAAGGUUAGCAUGAUCCGGAUCCUGCUAACCGUUAGCUGCCGUGCGUCCAUACGAGAAAAUCUCGAUCCGGAUACCAAAAUAUGAUGAUCGAAUCACUGGCCAAUA